rnacentral:rRNA from 1 species
CCCCCCUCAAGAUGAGAUAUCCCAUCUCUUUAAGAGAGUAAGACCCCUUGAAGACUACAAGGUAGAUAGGAGUGAGGUGUAAGCAUGGUAACAUGUUCAGCUGACACUUACUAAUCGGUCGAGGGCUUUUCCAG